rnacentral:rRNA from 1 species
UUCCAGACUCCUACGGGAGGCAGCAGUGGGGAAUAUUGCACAAUGGGGGGAACCCUGAUGCAGCGACGCCGCGUGGGCGAGGAAGUAUUUCGGUAUGUAAAGCUCUAUCAGCAGGGAAGAAAAUGACGGUACCUGACUAAGAAGCCCCGGCUAACUACGUGCCAGCAGCCGCGGUAAUACGUAGGGGGCAAGCGUUAUCCGGAUUUACUGGGUGUAAAGGGAGCGUAGACGGCUGCGCAAGUCAGAAGUGAAAGCCCGGGGCUCAACCGCGGGACUGCUUUUGAAACUGUGUAGCUAGAGUGCAGGAGAGGUAAGUGGAAUUCCUAGUGUAGCGGUGAAAUGCGUAGAUAUUAGGAGGAACACCGGUGGCGAAGGCGGCUUACUGGACUGUAACUGACGUUGAGGCUCGAAAGCGUGGGGAGCAAACAGGAUUAGAUACCCCGGUAU